GCCUAAAAUUGACCGAUGAGAUUUGUAUUUGAAUAUUUCAUCAGGCCAAUUUUAGUCUU
rnacentral:pre_miRNA from 1 species